AUUUCCAUGGCUCAGUUGGGUAGAGCAAUCGGCUGAUAACCGAAAGGUCGCGGGUUCGAAUCCCGCUGGAAAAG
rnacentral:tRNA from 1 species